UACGAAGGGGGCUAGCGUUGUUCGGAUUUACUGGGCGUAAAGCGCACGUAGGCGGACUUUUAAGUCAGGGGUGAAAUCCCAGAGCUCAACUCUGGAACUGCCUUUGAUACUGGAAGUCUUGAGUAUGGUAGAGGUGAGUGGAAUUCCGAGUGUAGAGGUGAAAUUCGUAGAUAUUCGGAAGAACACCAGUGGCGAAGGCGACUGACUGGACAAGUAUUGACGCUGAGGUGCGAAAGCGUGGGGAGCAAACAGG
rnacentral:rRNA from 1 species